CACCGCUGCAGCAGAGUUCUGUGCUAGCCGGGCAUAGGGGCGAGAGAAGGCCCAGAGGCGACGUCAGAGAGAAGCAACUGCGCCCCGGUGAAGAGAAGCUCGCCCAUCACCGGCUGGGAGCCAGCUUUCAGUGAAGAUGGCAGGGCCAGAACUGUUGCUUGACUCCAACAUCUGCCUCUGGGUGGUCCUACCCAUCGUUAUCACUCUUCGUAGACAUGAUCCGCCACUACGUGUCCAUCCUGCUGGAGAGCGACAAGAAGCUCACCCAGGAACAAGUAUCUGACAGGGGACGAGGCACCCACAGUCCCUCUCCCAUAAGCCUGCCAAGAAGAUUGAUGUGGCCCGUGUAACCUUUGACCUGUACAAGCUGAACCCACAGGACUUCAUUGGCUGCCUGAACAUGAAGGCGACUUUUUAUGAUACGUACUCCCUUUCCUAUGAUCUGCACUGCUGUGGGGCCAAACGCAUCAUGAAGUGAGCAAAUUGGGGUUUCCUGGGGACAAGGUGGGUACGGGCAAUGGGAGAGCCCCUGUCUGUUCACAUGGACUCAGCCUUCUCAGCACCUGGGUCUGGCUUUGGUGCUGACAAAGCAUAGCCUGUAUCAGACAACACGGAGCCUGAUGGGCUCUCGAAGUGCUGUGGACAACACUGGCGUGUGCCCAGGGGUGCACAUGUUCCUCCUGGUGGAACCUGGAUGCAUUUUAUUUUUAUGACUACUUUCCACUCUAGCAACUACAUUUUUUCAUUGAAAUAGGAAGUUUUCCUAAGUAGUCUUCUAGUCAGUUUUUUAAAAAUGAACAUGUGUUGGCCAGGCAUAGUGGCUCACGCCUCUAAUCCCAGCACUUUGGGAGGCCAAGGUGGGUGGAUCACUUGAGGUCAGGAGUUUGAGACCAGCCUGGCCAACAUGGCAAAACCCAAUCUCUACAAAAAUUAGCUGGACAUGGCAGUGCAUGCCUGUAAUCCCAACUACUCAGGAGCCUGAAGCAGGAGAAUCGUUUGAACCCAGGAGGUGGAGGUGACAGUGAGGCGAGAUUGUGUCACUGCACUCCAGCCUGGGCAAAACAGCAAGUGUCUUACCAAAAAAAAAAAAAAAAAGUAUGUGUCAAA
rnacentral:lncRNA from 1 species